rnacentral:rRNA from 1 species
AUCAACUUUCGAUGGUAGGAUAGAGGCCUNCCAUGGUGGUAACGGGUAAACGGGGUGUUAGGGCACGACACCGGAGAGGGAGCCUGAGAAACGGCUACCACAUCCAAGGAUGGCAGCAGGCGCGCAAAUUACCCAAUCCCGACACGGGGAGGUAGUGACAAUAAAUAACAAUACGGGGUUCUUUCGGAUCUCGUAAUUGGAAUGAGUACAAUUUAAAUCUCUUAACGAGGAACAAUUGGAGGGCAAGUCUGGUGCCAGCAGCCGCGGUAAUUCCAGCUCCAAUAGCGUAUAUUAAAGUUGUUGCAGUUAAAAAGCUCGUAGUUGAAUUUCGGGAUCAGAUUGUCGGUCGUGCCUCGGUACGCACUGGCAUUAUUGGUUCCUACCUUCUGAAGAACCGCGAUGUCAUUAAUUUGGUGUCGUGGGGAAUCAGGACUGUUACUUUGAAAAAAUUAGAGUGUUUAAAGCAGGCGCACGCUUGAAUACAUUAGCAUGGAAUAAUGAAAUAGGACGUUUGAUUCUAUUUUGUUGGUUUCUAGGAUCGACGUAAUGAUUAAUAGGGAUAGUUGGGGGCAUUAGUAUUCAAUUGUCAGAGGUGAAAUUCUUGGAUUUAUUGAAGACUAACUACUGCGAAAGCAUUUGCCAAGGAUGUUUUCAUUAAUCAAGAACGAAAGUUAGGGGAUCGAAGACGAUCAGAUACCGUCGUAGUCUUAACCAUAAACUAUGCCGACUAGGGAUCGGAUGAUGUUAAUUUUUUAAUGACUCAUUCGGCGCCUUACGGGAAACCAAAGUGUUUGGGUUC